rnacentral:rRNA from 1 species
GAUGAACGCUAGCUACAGGCUUAACACAUGCAAGUCGAGGGGCAGCAUAAAAUCAGCUUGCUGAUUUGAUGGCGACCGGCGCACGGGUGAGUAACACGUAUCCAACCUGGCCUUUACUCAGGGAUAGCCUUUCGAAAGAAAGAUUAAUACCUGAUGGCAUAAAUUGACCGCAUGGUUGAUUUAUUAAAGAUUUAUUGGUAAAGGAUGGGGAUGCGUUCCAUUAGCUUGUUGGUAAGGUAACGGCUUACCAAGGCAUCGAUGGAUAGGGGUUCUGAGAGGAAGGUCCCCCACACUGGAACUGAGACACGGUCCAGACUCCUACGGGAGGCAGCAGUGAGGAAUAUUGGUCAAUGGGCGGAAGCCUGAACCAGCCAAGUAGCGUGAAGGAUGACUGCCCUAUGGGUUGUAAACUUCUUUUAUAAGGGAAUAAAGGGUCCUACGUGUAGGAUUUUGUAUGUACCUUAUGAAUAAGCAUCGGCUAACUCCGUGCCAGCCGCCGCAGUAAAAC